GGUCCCAUAGUUAAACGGAUAUAACCCAGCAUUCCUAAUGCUGAAUUAGUGGUUCGAUUCCACUUGGGACUG
rnacentral:tRNA from 1 species